rnacentral:lncRNA from 1 species
CGGCUCCUAAGCGUCCGGCUCGCCGCCAUCUUGGAUCGGGGUUUCAUUGUUCGCGGUGGGACGGGCAUUUUUGUGUAAUCGCUGCCAAAGAAGAAAGCGAAGUAGCCUCCAGUCAAGCGAGGAGGCCGGCUCUUCCGCAGCCAUAGCCACCUCAACGAUUUGGGAGGUAGCGAAGGGCAGGGAGCUGGACCCUGAGGUGCCGCCGCGACUGCAGCAGCCAUGGAGGACGAGAUGCCCAAGACUCUUUAAGAACUGGAAAAAAAAAAAAGCCGGACAUUUUUCUCGAAGGUCUUCGGCUUUCCCUCUGUAGCAACUCCCCAGACCCUCGACCAAAAACCUAACUGGACACCCAAGGAUGUUGAAACCGUUCUUAAAAAAUGGAAAUCUCACUCGGAGGGAUGCAUCUACUGAGGGAAAGUGGGUCUAAUUAAAACAUUUACCACC